GGACCAUUAGCUCAGCUGGUUAGAGCAAAUUCGGUCGAUGGUUCGAAUUCAUCAUGGUCGA
rnacentral:tRNA from 1 species